CAUUAAAAAUGCAGUAUCUAGGAAGUGAUCCUAGGUCGUCUCCCAACGAGCAAUUAUCAACCAAACAUUCAUAACAUAUAGUAAUAAAACAGUAAUGAAUUGGGGGGAUUGAUGUUUUUGUAAUUUAAACAGCGAGCAAAUUUUAAUUAGAAAAUAAUAGAAUUAAAACAUGUUAUUUCCCCUUGAUUCACAAGUAAGUCUC
rnacentral:lncRNA from 1 species